ensembl:lncRNA
CAAAGUUCUACGCUCAUGCCAUGGAACUUGCCACUCUUUGUAGACAUUUGUUUACAAUAAUACAACAGGGGUAGUAGCCUCUGGAUUUUGUUGCUAUUUGUGAAUGUUAAAUUUAGUGAGAUGUUUAGUCACGAAAUCUUCCAGACACAAAUGUCUAGUGUUAUGGCGGCUGUAGUAGAAGCGGCGGUCUCGGAGCUGAGCCGACUUCUGGACGAGUGCGCGACAAUGACCUCGAAACGUUGUUCAAGUCCAACUUCACAUAAUAUGAUUGUUAUUAAAGCCGAGAACGGAAUUACGGAGGAAGGGACGCAGUUCAUCAACCCAUUGACGAGAAAAUUUGCAUCCCUCAUGGAAACAUGGACCAAAGAAGCAGUGGAGAAAAUAGCAGCAAUGUUAAGAAUGUCCCUGGCAGAAGAUGGUCUUCUCGAGAAGAAGACUCUACCCAGGAGAGCUAAAUCAAAAACAGCUGGUGGUCCCACAAAGCGUAAGUCCUUCAAGUUCUGCAUGGGCAUGCUGGUCAAAUCCUACUUUAAUUAAACAUCAAGUGUCACACAGGGUCUGAUCCCCUCAUGGGAAAUCAAA